GGAUGAAGAACGCAGCAAAAUGCGAUAAGUAAUGUGAAUUGCAGAAUUCAGUGAAUCAUCGAAUCUUUGAACGCACAUUGCGCCCGCUGGUAUUCCGGCGGGCAUGCCUGUUCGAGCGUCAUUUCAACCCUCAAGCCCCCGGGUUUGGUGUUGGGGAUCGGCUCUGCCCUUCUGGGCGGUGCCGCCCCUAAAUACAUUGGCGGUCUCGCUGCAGCCUCCAUUGCGUAGUAGCUAACACCUCGCAACUGGAACGCGGCGCGGCCAUGCCGUAAAACCCCAACUUCUGAAUGUUGACCUCGGAUCAGGUAGGAAUACCCGCUGAACUUAAGCAUAUCAAUAAGCGGAGGA
rnacentral:misc_RNA from 1 species